rnacentral:rRNA from 1 species
GACGAACGCUGGCGGCGUGCUUAACACAUGCAAGUCGAACGGAAAGGCCCUGCUUUUGUGGGGUGCUCGAGUGGCGAACGGGUGAGUAACACGUGAGUAACCUGCCCUUGACUUUGGGAUAACUUCAGGAAACUGGGGCUAAUACCGGAUAGGAGCUCCUGCUGCAUGGUGGGGGUUGGAAAGUUUCGGCGGUUGGGGAUGGACUCGCGGCUUAUUAGCUUGUUGGUGGGGUAGUGGCUUACCAAGGCCUUGACGGGUAGCCGGCCUGAGAGGGUGGACGGCGACAUUGGGACUGAGAUACGGCCCAGACUCCUACGGGAGGCAGCAGUGGGGAAUAUUGCACAAUGGGCGGAAGCGUGAUGCAGCAACGCCGCGUGCGGGAUGACGGCCUUCGGGUUGUAAACCGCUUUCGCCUGUGACGAAGCGUGAGUGACGGUAAUGGGUAAAGAAGCACCGGCUAACUACGUG